UCCUUUUCUUUCCUUUUCGAUUGAACGCUGGGAAGUGAGAACCCUAUCUUUUCUUCUAUCUCCUCCCGUCUUUCCUCUGCCAUUCAUCAUCUCCUUCCUCCUUUCACCUGGUUUUUCGAGUUCUCCUUCCUCUUUCUACAUUGGAUCUUUUUCUCUCUCCUCCAAGCAGCUUCAAUUCUCGUCUGCUACUUCCGACGAUUGUUGUAGCAACUACAAUCUUUGACCCAGCUUGUUCUGGUUUACAUGUCCAAGGUGGAUGGAAAAUUCAAUUUUAGUCAGUGUCAACUUCUUGACCGAGAUUAUGAAGGUUAUCUUUGCAAUUGUUAUGAUUUUGAUUCAGGCCAGACAAAAAAUUUGGAGAAAAGCCUCUUCCAUCUGUCUCCACAUUUGUUCAGGUAACUGAUUACUGGGGCGAGUACUUGAGGUCCUCUGUCGAUUUCUUCUCCCUGAAUCGUUUCUUGCUCGUCGGACUCAACUAAGCAAUGAUCUUGAUGCUGAUUAGUCGAUUAAAAGGAGGAUGUAUAGGGAAUUACCAAUAGAGAUUUUAUUGUUAGAGCUACUAAGGAGGAUGUAUAGUGGAAUUACCAGUGGAGAUUUUAAUGUUAGAGCUAUCAAGAGAUGGCUCAUCUAUUGUUUGUGCAUUACAGGUUUCUUCAGUUCGUGCAAGCAAGUUAGAUGAUAAAAGACUGAGCAUAUUUACUGGAACAAAGACUCUUCACUUACACUGUGUGUCCAAAGAAGAUAGAGAAGCAUGGAUUGAGGUGUUGUUAGCUGCAAAGAUCUUUUCCCCAGGGUGCUUUCAAGCAUUGAA